rnacentral:rRNA from 1 species
GACGAACGCUGGCGGCGUGCUUAACACAUGCAAGUCGAACGGAAAGGCCCUGCUUUUGUGGGGUGCUCGAGUGGCGAACGGGUGAGUAACACGUGAGUAACCUGCCCUUGACUUUGGGAUAACUUCAGGAAACUGGGGCUAAUACCGGAUAGGAGCUCCUGCUGCAUGGUGGGGGUUGGAAAGUUUCGGCGGUUGGGGAUGGACUCGCGGCUUGUCAGCUUGUUGGUGGGGUAGUGGCUUACCAAGGCUUUGACGGGUAGCCGGCCUGAGAGGGUGACCGGCCACAUUGGGACUGAGAUACGGCCCAGACUCCUACGGGAGGCAGCAGUGGGGAAUAUUGCACAAUGGGCGGAAGCCUGAUGCAGCAACGCCGCGUGCGGGAGGACGGCCUUCGGGUUGUAAACCGCUUUCGCCUGUGACGAAGCGUGAGUGACGGUAAUGGGUAAAGAAGCACCGGCUAACUACGU